UACGAAGGGGGCUAGCGUUGCUCGGAAUUACUGGGCGUAAAGGGAGCGUAGGCGGACAGUUAAGUCAGUGGUGAAAGCCCCAGGGCUCAACCCUGGAGUUGCCUUUGAUACUGAUUGUCUUGAGUAUGGGAGAGGUAUGCGGAACUCCGAGUGUAGAGGUGAAAUUCGUAGAUAUUCGGAAGAACACCGGUGGCGAAGGCGGCGCUCUGGACCGAGACUGACGCUGAGGCGCGAAAGCGUGGGGAGCAAACAGG
rnacentral:rRNA from 1 species